UAGGGAAGUCUUCCACAAUGGACGGCAAGUCUGAUGGAGCAACGCCGCGUGAGUGAAGAAGGGUUUCGGCUCGUAAAGCUCUGUUGUUAAAGAAGAACGUGGGUAAGAGUAACUGUUUACCCAGUGACGGUAUUUAACCAGAAAGCCACGGCUAACUACGUGCCGG
rnacentral:rRNA from 1 species